AAAAUGUCCUUUGUUCAUCCGGAACUUACACUUCACACUUUACAGAAACCGUCGCCGUUCCAUUUCAUGCUCGGCGCAGCAGAAGCCGUUUAAGCCGAUGACGGAGGAAAAUAUUCUCGAGGCAGUAGCUGAUUUCGACGGAGAUGAGAAAUCUGUACCUUGUUUAAGAACUUAUGAGAACGAUAUAGCUCGACUUACAUUGGU
rnacentral:misc_RNA from 1 species